UUGUGGACAAGUGUGCUAAAAUUUUUAUUAUUUUUUGUUCUUAAAGGUCCGGGUGAAGAUGCAGUGGAAGUGCAAAUACUGAUUCUUUGAGAGCUUUGGAGUGGACAAGUUCUGCAGGUUCUGCAUGGCAACGAGGAGUGAGAUCCAAGACAAGGAGAUGGCAGCACACCAGAAGAUGACCUUGAGAGUAAUUUUCACAGAGACAGAUAUAAGAAAGGUUGUUCUGAAUACAAGACCUACUACAGUGGAGGAUUUGAUAG